UACUACAUCUGUGGCCAAGAGCACGGCCUCGCUCAACAGGAUCGAUCUAAGGAGCCUGAGAAGCAAGUCCUCCUAAGACACAGAGACAGACGCUCAGGGAAAGAAAAAAGAAAGUGUGCGUGUGAGGACAGAUCGAGACAAACGACUACCACUGGCUAUAAUCACUUUGAUGUUUUAACGGUUGUUGAGGAAGACGUGGUGGAGACCAUUUUAACGAUUGAAGGAGGUGGACCAGUCAAAACCUCACCUGGCUAUCAGCGGUUUGUCUGAGAGCUUAUCAGAAAGAUUCAACAUUCGUAACCUACCUGGUGACGUCACGUGGUCCCGGCCCAUGAGAAACGCUGAUCCAGGAGUGGACAGCCAAUCCAGGGAGGAAAUUAGGAGAAGGACUACGACAUUGGAGGAGGAGGACGAG